rnacentral:lncRNA from 1 species
AUUUUUUUAUUUUAUGGAUACAUGUGUACGUAAUUCUAAAAUUAUCACUUUCAUUUUCUUGCAUCCAUACAAAACCCCAACACUCUAGAAUUUUUCGUAACUUUCAUCUCUUUUGCCCCUUGCUACUUUCAUCUUCUUUACUCCUAUUUAACAAUAUAAUUUUGAAGAAUUUCUGCAAGUUUGAUUUAUCUACUCAACUAAGUUGGUAAAUUUGUCCCUCGUCUCCUUUCCAUCUCUUUUCAAAAUUUUCGAUUUCCUGAUGAAAAUCUUCGUAGGUACUGUUAUUAUUCAUUUAAACUUAUUUCAAGAACUAAUUUAUCAGUUUUUCAUCUACUUCAAAUGUUCCAAUUUCAGAUCCGAAUUUCUCCCACUUUUUUCCCCAAGAACUAUUUUAUCAGUUUUUUUAAUUUAUCUUUAAAGUUCCAAUUUCAGAUCCGAUUUUCCAUCUACUUAAUAAAACAAGUGUGAUUUGCUACUUGUUAAGGUAUAUCAUGAUUUUUGGGCUCUCUGUUGUACUAAUUUUCUCUUGGGAUUUUAGGAUAGAACUUUUUUAUUGGGUUUAUUUAAUCUGAGAAUCUGAAUUUUUUUCUUUUUUUUAAUUUUAUUAUGUUUGAGCACAAUUUAAAAAAUAUAUUUUUGAAAAUAUUUUAUUAUAUAGAAAUGAGAGAUUGGUCGACCAAGGGUAUACUGGC